UUCGACAAGUCACACCACAUGUCAGAACAAAAACCAGCCAUGAAGUCCAGGUAACUCUCUGUAGACCUCGGCAAUAAAAUUGUGGCAAGGCAUGGAUCAAGGCAAGGGUAUAACACAACUUCUAAAGCUUUGAGUGUUCCAAAGAACAGUGCACAGUGUCAAAUGGAAAAAGUUUGGAACCACCAGGACUCUUCUUAGAGUUGGCUGUCCGGCCAAACUGAGGAGCUGGGCAAGAAGGGCCUUGGUCAGAGAGGUAACGAGUCACCCAUUGUUCACUCUGAAAUAGCUUCAGGAGCCCUCUGCAGAGAGGGGAGAACCUGCUGGAAGGACGACCAUCUCAGCAGCGCUCCAUCAAUUAGGCCUUUAUGAUAGAGACGGAAGCCACUUUGAGAAAAAGGCAUAUGACAGUCUGCUUGGAGUUUGCCAAACAUAAUUUAAAGGAUUCUCAGAGCAUGAAGAAAAAGAUUCUCUGGUCUGAUGAGACUAAAAUUACAAUCUUUGGGCAGAACUCCAAGCACAAUGUCUAGGGACAGAAGACCUGAGACUGGGGCGACUGUGGCAGUUUGGCACAAGUCUCUGGCUGUCCAUGAUUGGCCCAGACUUAAAGCCCAUAGAACAUCUGUGCAGAAACCUGAAGAUGGCCGUUUACAGACACUUCCCCUCCCAUCUGACAAAGCUUGUGAGGAUCGGUAACAACAGGAUAAACUGCCCAAAUCCAGGUGUUUGAAGUUUGUACAGACUUACACAAGAUAACUAGAUGCUGUAAUUUCUGCCAAUGGGGCAUCUACAAAGUAUUGAAUUAAGGGUCUGAAUACUUUGUUAAAUGAGAUUACUUUUUUUU